GCGCGAAGCGUGACGUGGGACUCCAAGUGCCUUGCCUUCGGGUAAGGCUUUUGUUCAGUGUAAGUAGCUAAACGAAUAAGUGCUGGGUAAGACCGGUGCCAGCAGCCGCGGUAAA
rnacentral:rRNA from 1 species